rnacentral:rRNA from 1 species
AGGGAAUAUUAGUAAUGGGCGAAAGCCUGAACUAGCGACACCGCGUGUGCGAAGAAGGCCUUCGGGUUGUAAAGCACUUUUAGAGAGGAUGAGGAAGGACGGUACUCUCUGAAUAAGUCUCGGCUAACUACGUGCCAGCAGCCGCGGUAACACGUAGGAGGCAAACGUUAUCCGGAUUUACUGGGCGUAAGGCGCGUGUAGGUGGUUCUGUAAGUAGGGCGUGAAAGCUCCCGGCUCAACUGGGAGAGGCCGUUCUAAACUGCAGAGCUAGAGGAUGGUAGAGGGAGGUGGAAUUCCGGGUGUAGCGGUGGAAUGCGCAGAUAUCCGGAGGAACACCAGUGGCGAAGGCGACCUCCUGGGCCACUCCUGACACUCAGACGCGAAAGCUAGGGUAGCAAACGG